AGCUAGGAGGGACCGCGCGGUUCCAGGGUGGGGCUGAGGCGACUGCAGGCCCUCAAGCCCGGGGUCUCCCUCCCCUACCCAGGCGCGCCCCAGCGCGUCUUAAAGGGGCCCUGCGCUUGGCUGGCCGCCUGCCCUGCUUGGAGCUCCCGGGGCUAUGUGCUUUCCGGCCCACUGGGGGUGAAGUGAGUGCUGCCCGCCUUGGCCUGAGGUCUUGGGCCGGUGGGAAGGCCGGACCGAGCUGUCACCCCGCGUGCCAAGGGUGGAAGAGGCGGGGAUGCUUGGCCUUGGAAAAAGGAGUGAAGAACGUAGAUGUAUUCCACUGGGAUUAGGGAAAGAGCUUGUUUGGAAGAAGGGGCUGGCUAAGAGAAGUGGCAAGGGUGAGCAGAUGUGCUCACUCUAUCCUGGGCCGGAGCCGGAGCCGUGGCUAGUUUCAGCUUCGACUAGGUAGAGAGGUCCUUGUCAGUUUCAGAACUGCCGGCUUCCAUUUCUCCAGCCCAGAUACUUAAACCUUUAGUGGCCAAGCAUACUAGUUCCUUCUGGAGGAAUGCGACUCGGGUCCUCUUUGUCCUUGGGACUUUUGCAGUUACUCUAUAUAGGAGGAGCUUGGGUAGGGUGGAGGGCUUGUGUAGAACCUUCUGCAUGAUUAUCGCAUGUGAUUGGAGAAAACUUGUUCCUAUGAGCUGCAGGCUGAUAAGUGCAGAUAACUGGGCGGGAGACAGUAAUUCCAAGGUUACAUGACCGGUCCUGUUACUUGCUCACUUAAGUUUUACUGUUGCUUUUAAAUCUGCUCUACCCAAGAAAGGUUCCUCUUUGGGGGGACCCCUUUACUUUUUAAAAAUUUAUUUGGCUGCAGCACACGGAAUCUAGUUCCCUGACCAGGGAUGGAAUCCAGGCCCUCUGCUUUGGGAGCGUGGAGUCUGAGCCACCAGGGAAGUCCCAUGGGGGGCCCUUUAUUUGACUUUUGUUGUUGUUGGGAUCGUAAGGAAUGUUGUUGCUUACACAAUGUUUUCAAUCUCAUAUUGCCAGAAUUACUUUUGUCUCUGGGUAACUGGGUGCUUUAAACAGAAAGACUGGUGUGCUGAGGGGUCCCAGCCUUCUAAUCCAAGCAGGGACAGUCCCACAAGUGACCUUGACUCUUGCAAAGAACUUACACCUUUUUCUUCUGCAGACAAAUUAAAGCUGCCCGCACCUAAGGGGAGGAAAGGAAAAACCUAGAAAGGUUUUGUCUUACAGUGUGUUAUCUUGAAUGGUUGGCAGAUAAGGUAAAGCCUGUAGCAUUUACAGGUUUUUCCAGGUACUCAGCAGCAUGGUGGAGGCUGACCAUUUAGGAGACAAGUGUCUUACUUGACGGUAGUUCCUUCCACUACUUAGGGAACAGGGAAAGGAAGCCUCUUGGGAAAAGAGGCAAGUUCUGGAUAGUGUUUUGGCUGAAUAGGAGAUACUAUAAUUAGCUCAUUCCAGAGCUGCUAACUCUACAGUUUGAAACAGCCUUUGGAAUUUACAUUUGAAUUUAGUUUUUCUCUUAAACCUCUGGGGAAAGAAACUCAGAAAGUUUUUGAAUUGACAAGGCAACCUAAUUGUAGAGAUCAUUAUUGUUUUGUUUACUUUCCUGUUGGACCUGAGGAUCCUUGAAACCUGUAUAUUGGAAGCCCUUCUAAGGCUUUCGACCCUUAUAACAAAGCUCAACAGACCGAGGAGUGGAAACUUCCUGAGAUUUAAGCAGUAUAGCCAGAAUACCAAGAAGUCUUUCAAUCUGACAGCAUUGCUAGCACCUGCCUGAACUUUCCAGAUUAGCCUACAGCUUAAUAAUGGUGCUCAGUUUUUUCUUUUGCUAUUAAGGUAGGCUUUAGAAGGCAAAAAUAGUCUUCUAGCCUACCACUUUGAUUCUCAAAGUCAGGUGUAAUUCGCUUUUCUGAGAAAACUUUUUAACCUUGCUCGGAGACUAGCUAAUCAUUGUUCUGUUGUACCCUGCUCACUGUCAGGUAAUUUAAUGAGCACCUGAGUUGGAGAGACCACCUCAUUCAGAGCCUUAAGGUGAUCUGAGUUGGGAAUUAGAGUAGAUCCACCAGUUAACUUCUGCAUUCUUAAUACCAAAGUGACGGACAGCCCUACUUCUUGUAUCUUUGAGAAUUAUUCCUCUAAGCUGUUUGAUAACUUUAGGUAAGUCAAUCCAAAAGUGUUUCUAGAUUAUUUCUAGACUUUUUCAAGACACUUCACAGCAAGCCCACACCACUGCACAUCUCUUCUGUAAAGUUAAGCCUGAAACUGGGUUCUGCACAACUGAGUCAGUUUUGUCCUUUGAAGUAUUAGUUAAGCUUAAAGACCAAAACUUGUUAAGGGCAAACUCUCGAACUUCUUUGAUUCUUUGCUACCCAAAGUAAUGGCAACUCCCUGAUGGCUUACUAGAUGAAUCAGAGAUGAACAUGGAGAGCGAUGCCUCACCCGGUGCUAGUGGUGGAGGGAUUGUACUGUUCUUUCUGGUGGUCUUUAGACUGGUAGCCAUUGAAUGCGUGGGUGUGGGGAGGCAUUGAGAUAAGCAGGUAAUCCGAAGGGAAGGCUGACAUUCCAGGUGGGCAGAAGGCAGGAAACCAGACUUGGUGGAGCUCCCUAAAGCCACAGAGUAAUUCCUUCUGCCCUGUUUUUGGUGCCUGGUGUAAUAGAGUUGAAUAGGAUUUGAGUGAAAUUAAAAACAGUAGAGAGACAACUUUAGCAGCAGAUCUUAGGAUCUGUUUUCCAGUUCUUCGCUGAACUUGCCUGAAUUCCUGUAAUUUCUUUUAACAUGUUAUCAUUUUAAAAGAUCUGUAAGUAAGUUCACAGUGAGCAUCGUUGCCUGGGGUGGCUUGUUCACACUGCACGUUUAUGAAACCUAUAUGCAGAUUCUGGGUCAGCAGAGGUGGGGUGGGUCUGGAAAUUUGUAUUUUUUCAAGUGUCUCAGUUGACUGCUUGGUGAUCCCCUCCUGUUGGGCCAGUAAAGCCAUGUGCAGUCCUUUUUGUUUGUAACUAUAUUUCAUAUGUAUGUGUAUGUGUUUGGGCUUUUUUUUUAAUUAGUGAUUUUUUAAAAAAUAUGUAUUUAUUUGAUUGCAUCCGUCUUAGCUGCAGUCCACAGGAUCUAGCACAGAUUCUCUAGCUGUGUCACAUGAGCUUAGUUGCUCCUUGACAAGUGGGAUCUUAGAUCCUCAACCAGGGAUUGAACUUGCGUCCUCUGUAUUGCAAGGCAAAUGCUUAAUCUGGACCACCAAGGAAGUCCCUAACUAGUGGUUAUUUUUAAGUGACUUCAAAAGUAGCUAUAGUCUGUUUUAGACUAUUUUCUCUAGGUUUAUCGUCCUGUGUCUUUUUUUCAAAUGACUUAGGAAAAGAUUUUUGUAAAUCCCUGAAAUAAAGCAUUGUAAGAACUCCUAGUAGAAGUGAGGAAACAGUUUCUAGUUCCUGAGAAAGUAGUAGUGACAGAUCCUAUAUAUUUUACUCAGUAGUAUAGGCUUCGUAUGCACAUAAUAAAUAGGUGUUUAGCAACUAUUAAAGAACAAUAAGAAUUUCUCUGAAAGAAAAAUUAGGACUCAGUUCUUUCCUAAGGCUGAAUUGGUGUCCUUUUCAGUCUUCUUCAUUGAAUAAUCAGCGAACCUUUAGAGAAGGGUCUGUUAGACAAAUGGGAGUUGGGCAGAAUUAUUAAGGGAAUUCUUGGGAGUAUGAAGGGCAUCAGAGUACGAAAUCUAAAGAUUUCUCUGCUCAGGCUAUUAAGUGGCCUGACCAAGUAGUGUGGGUGGACUUCCAGUAUUAGUCUUGUGAAAGACAGAUGUUAAAUGGUUCUCUGACCUGGUUCUGGGGAGAGAGGAGUCUUUGUCCUGUGUGUGUUCGUUUUUACUUAAUGCAAGUUGUUUCUUCUGCACUGGAAGGAAGCCUUCAUAGCACAAGAUUUUUCUUGCAGUUAUUAGAGAAUUGUGUUUGUUUCAUCAACUAAGCCAGUUCUGCUGGCUUGGCAAGCUCUCAUCUGUUGUUAAUGGACAAGGGCUCUAAUAAAAUCAGGAGCAUCUCUCACAAGUUGUUUUUUUUUUUUCUCACAAGUUUUUUUAUUUUUUUUAUUUUUAUUUUUUUUCAUUUUUAAUUUUUUUAAUUGAAAAAAGUUAUAUUUUCUACACAACAAAUACUAAAACACUUGCAAUACUUUUUCAAUUUUCUUAACAUACAAAACCAUCACAUGAUGCAAAAAAAUACAAACUGUAACUUGAAGUUAUUGACUGUUGUCUGAAGGUGACUGACAGCAAUGACUAAUUAGUCAUGCUGCUAAUUUACCUCCACGUGUAAUUUAGCACAUCAGAAAUAUCUUUUCUCCUGACAUAAAAAAGACAAUGAAAUGUGCAUACAAGUUUUUUUUUAAUUGAUUUUUAAAUUGAGGUGUAGAUGAUUUACAGUACUUCAGGUGUACAACAUGGUGAUUCACAAUUUUGUAGAUUAUAUUCCAUUUAUAAAUAUUAUUAUGUAUUGGCUAUGUUCCCUAUACUGUACAACAUAUCCUUGUAGCCUAUUUAUUUUAUACACUGUAGUUUGUAAGCUCACAGAUUUGAUGUUGGAGCUCCUGGAUAUGUGCCAGGACAUGUUCUGAAUGUGUCUUUGAUGGAGUAUUGAAGGAAAUGUGGCUUUUCCCUUGUAGAGUAAGGGUCCUAGAUGUGGAUCAAUGAUGAUAAUAGGCUAAGAGGAGUAAGAGAGAAGUAACUACAUUAUUAAGUAAGUACUUAUCCAAAUGGGAUUCUACUGUUUGCAGAAUUUGGGGGAGAAAGGAGUAGUUUUAAUUGAUUUUUGUUAAGGGAUUUGGCCAAUACCCUAAAGUAUUAUAAGCAAGUCUUUGGCAGAAUUUCCUGCAUGUUUUAUUUGUCCUUUUCCUCCCUUGGCCUUUUAAGAUAGAAGUUCCCUUAAUUGUAUUUUUGCAUCCUAGCAUAGCAUAUUUGACAGCUGCAGCCCACUUCUAUCAGUAAUAGCCAGCUCACUAAAAGUUACUGGCAUGGGAUGGCAGCAUAUGGGGUUUGAAAAAGCCUUUUAGUGAUGGUAAUUCCCACCACCCUAUAGAGAAUUCUGGCAGACAGAAGCUGUGAGCCUGGCCCUUAUCUUUGGAAGUAGCUCUUGCCAUCUCUCCCCAUGAAGCAGCUGACCUACUGAGUGAGAUGCUGCCCUGAUUCACCUGACAGCUGCCUUUCCGGUAGGAUGACUCCACACGUGGCGUGUAACCCGAAGCCAAAGCUCAGUUGCCACACCUCCAGAAUUGGGGGGAGGAGCUAGGAGUUGAAAGUUCAGGGAUGACUCAGAGAUUUGUACGCUGCCUGUUCUAUCUGUGAGUAUAGCCUGAAUGCACUGUACAAAAGUCGUUUAGCAGCUUUCACUGGCAGCCAGGAGGUAGAAGAGAGGAGGAUGUAGCCUAAGGUAUGACAGCCCUCUAACACCUCCUGCUGGUGUUAGAUUAUAGUUAAAUUUGUUUCCUCUCCCUGAGACUCUUUUCUGGGUCAGGAGGCCCUUCAGAAAGCUGGGGGAGUUAUUCACUCACCCCCUCCUCAGACUUGACUGUCUCUUUCCUGGGAUCCAGCUCCAUGAGAGAGCUGUGACACAAGUUGGUAGGUAACAAGCCAACACAUAACUAAGAAACAUGUUUACUGACCUCAGCUAUGCAGAAGGCACUGUUCUAGAGGCUUCCAUGCAAAUUAUUUCAUAUAGUCCACUUGUCUACCCUGAAAGUGGCUUUAUUACCUACCCAUUUUGAGAUGUCAGAAUUGAAACUAGAAGUUAGGUCAUAGAGGACCUGCAUUUAGGACUUGACUCUUGAUAACACCGCGUCCUAGACUCGGUGUUCUCCCCUCUGCUUCCUUGCUUAACACUUUAAACCAUGGAUGUUUCUCAAACUUUACUGUUCAUAGGAAUCAACCUAGUGAGUUUGUUAAACUACAGAUUUGGAUUUAGUAGGUCUGAGGUGAAACCCAAGAUUCUGCAUUUCUGACAAGCUCCAGGUAAUGGUAAUGUUGCUGGCCAGGCAGCCAUAUUUUUUAAAUAGCAAGGUUUUUAUGUACCUUUAUAUAUAUGUCCUUGUUGGAACCUUAGGGUCAGACUUUGGAGCCAAGUAGCUUGAGUGUUAUCCUAGAUGUGGAGAGGGAAAGGGAAACAGGAGUAGCUUUGCUUUAGAUGUCUCCGUUAUUUAGUGACGCAGCUGGGACUGGAGCCCAGAUUUCCUUUCCUGAUUCCAAGCCGUGUGCUCUGUCUUCUACAUCGUCAGAUAAAGUUAUCCUAACCUGAAUUCUUUCCAAUAUUCUAUCCAUAUGGAUUGUUUUUAAAAUCCUUCAUAUUUCUUUAGUUUUUUCCCCCCCUAGGCUGCACAGUGAGCUAAAAUAUGACUAAACUUGACAUUGAAGAGUGCUGGAAAGUAGCCAUACUAUUUACUUUUCUGUGUUUAUUAAAUGACAAAUACAGAGCACUUGGUGCUGUGUGCCAGGCGAUCGUCAGUGCUUCAUAAAUAUUGACUUAUUCAUCCUGCUAGCAGUGCUUUGAGGUAGGUUCAAUUAUUUCCAUUUUACAAAUAUUUUCUCAGGUCCUUUCUCUCUCCUCCUUCUGGGACCUGUGUAAUGCGAAUGUUGGUGCGUUUAAUACUGUCUCAGAGGUCUCAGACUGUCCUCAUUUCUCUUCACUUUUUUCAUUCAUGCCUUCAAGCUCACUUAUGUGUUUCUUCUGUGUCACUUAUUCUGCUAUUGAGUCCUUCUGGUGUAUUUUUUAUUUAAGUUAUUGUAUUGUUUAUCUGUUUAACUUUCCUGGUGGCUCAGAUGGUAAAGCGUCUGCCUACAAUGUGGGAGACCCGGGUUCAAUCCCUGGGUAGGGAAGAUCCUCUGGAGAAGGAAAUGGCAACUCACUCCAGUAUUCUUGCCUGGAAAUUCCCAUGGACAGAGGAGCCUGGUGGGCUACAGUCCAUGGGGUCUCACAGAGUUGAACACCACUAAACUUAAACUUUAUCAUUCUUUAGUUUGUUGUUAAACGUUUAUAGUGUGUUGGUCAGUGCCUCUAUUCUUUUUCCAAGACCUUGGAUCAUCUUUACUACCUUUACUCUGAAUUCUUCAGGUGGAUUGUUUACAUUUUAGAGAUAAAGAAAUUAAAGCACAGAAGGAUUAAAUGACUUGGCUAGGGUCCCACAACCAGAAGUAUAGUAGGAACAGAUAUACUACGUUCACUUUGGAGCUACAUAGCCACGCUGCUCACACACUAGCAUUGUUUUUGCCAGUUGGAGAUCCAGCUAAGAAGUGUUGCAGAUGGAGAUUGGGGACAGUUGAGAUCAGCUCUCCUCAAGUUACUUUGCGGUGCCUCAUUAAAUGGCAAAGACACUCUCUACAGAGGAAGUCAGGGCUUUGCUGGUGGUGGAAGCAUGGCGAUAUUUCCAUCCGAUGCCUUCAAAUGAUGUUGCAUUCUUACAGCCUUCUUAGUUGGCUUUCCACCCUUUCUGAUUUUCUUUUUUUUUUUUUUU